rnacentral:rRNA from 1 species
AGAGUUUGAUCAUGGCUCAGAACGAACGCUGGCGGCAGGCCUAACACAUGCAAGUCGAGCGCGCCUUCGGGUGAGCGGCGGACGGGUUAGUAACGCGUGGGAACGUGCCCUUCUCUACGGAAUAGCCUCUGGAAACGGAGAGUAAUACCGUAUACGCCCUUUGGGGGAAAGAUUUAUCGGAGAAGGAUCGGCCCGCGUUAGAUUAGGUAGUUGGUGGGGUAACGGCCUACCAAGCCUACGAUCUAUAGCUGGUUUUAGAGGAUGAUCAGCAACACUGGGACUGAGACACGGCCCAGACUCCUACGGGAGGCAGCAGUGGGGAAUCUUAGACAAUGGGGGCAACCCUGAUCUAGCCAUGCCGCGUGAGUGAUGAAGGCCUUAGGGUCGUAAAGCUCUUUCGCCUGUGAUGAUAAUGACAGUAGCAGGUAAAGAAACCCCGGCUAACUCCGUGCCAGCAGCCGCGGUAAUACGGAGGGGGUUAGCGUUGUUCGGAAUUACUGGGCGUAAAGCGCGCGUAGGCGGAUUAGAAAGUUGGGGGUGAAAUCCCGGGGCUCAACCCCGGAACUGCCUCCAAAACUGCUAGUCUAGAGUUCGAGAGAGGUGAGUGGAAUUCCGAGUGUAGAGGUGAAAUUCGUAGAUAUUCGGAGGAACACCAGUGGCGAAGGCGGCUCACUGGCUCGAUACUGACGCUGAGGUGCGAAAGUGUGGGGAGCAAACAGGAUUAGAUACCCUGGUAGUCCACACCGUAAAC